UUUCUAUGCUUUGUUACAUUUUGCAGUCCCAACUCUUUUAAAUAUAUAGUCCAAUUCUAUAAGAUAGUUAUUUACCUAAUUUGUCAUUUCUUAUUCAUUGAUACUUGUUCUUUCAAAUAUGUUUCAAGUUUUGUAAUGACUAGUGAAGUAAGUUCAAAGAACAAGAUCCACAGAUUGAGUAGUUUGUUAGUUUUUUCUGCUGGUCAAAAAUUGAAGUUGUGGAACAUUUCUUUUUGAUGAAUUAGACCUCUUCCCCUUGUCCCUGAUUUGGAGAUAUCAGAGAAGUCUGUUGAACAGGCAGCUGAUGUGAUUCGAGCAUGGGUUAAUCAUGCAUUGGCACUUGCUCAUGAGAUUGCCAUUUGUGGGAAUCUGAGGAUUCUUCUUCAGGUUGCUGCAUUGUUGUGGUUUAUUUCCUCUAUUGGUAGCUUGUGCAAUUUCAUCACAUUUGUCUACAUUGGAGUGCUUCUUGCUCUAUCAAUUCCAGUGUUGUAUGAUAAUUACCAGAGCCAGAUUGAUGUUCCUAAUGGUUUUAGGUGAGUGUUUUUAUGAAGAAGGCAAUACUGUAAGAGUUAUCUUUAAGUUAGUUUCUUCUUUUAUUAAAGCAGUUC